rnacentral:rRNA from 1 species
UACAGAGGGUGCAAGCAUUGUUCGGAAUUAUUGGGCGUAAAGGGCGCGUAGGCGGUGCGGUAAGUCUGUAGUGAAAUCUCUGGGCUCAACUCAGAGUCUGCUGCAGAAACUGCCGUGCUUGAGUGUGGGAGAGGUGAGUGGGAUUCCCGGUGUAGCGGUGAAAUGCGUAGAUAUCGGGAGGAACACCUGUGGCGAAAGCGGCUCACUGGACCACAACUGACGCUGAGGCGCGAAAGCUAGGGGAGCAAACAGG